rfam:Brassica oleracea var. oleracea cultivar TO1000 chromosome C9, whole genome shotgun sequence
AAGCCAUGAUGUGGGCAUUGAGACCAAUAGCUCUUGAACAUCUCCCAUGCUUCACUAAUUCCCUCUAGGUGCUUAUGCUGAAAGCUAGAGAUCUCAUUCCUGAUCUU